CCGACGUGUCAGCUAAUUUUUUCCACUGAUUCACUCAUGAACCAUGACGUGUGUAAUCUGAAGUGUUGAUCAUCCUGAUGUGUUCAGAGUGACAGUCGCCGUCGCAAACAAGGGGGGAUCUUCUACCAUGCGAUCUGUGUAUGUUGCUCUAGUCUUCAUGGCGGCCAUGACAGUGUUGUCGUGUUCGUUGGCCUCAAAAGUCGGACUUACUUCCGGGCAAGUGACCAAAUUCCACUGCCCGAUCUGCAGACGUCUCCUCAACCCAGAGAGUAGACAGCGAUGCAUCAGGAUUUUUUGUCGACUAGACGAGGAGACGAUUGCCAUAUGAAGACGUGUGUCGAGCCUCUGGUGAACUUGUGCCAUGUACUGUUUUGCAUUAAUUGUGAAGAAUAAUCGUAAAGAAUACAUGCACAUGUAAAUCUAUAGGUGGGGGGCGGUCAAAGUUGUGAUGACCUUUGCCAUCCAGUUUUUGUGUGAAUAAAACAGUUUUAAACUGAA